UUUUUCAAUGGAAUUGAUUGGGCUCUCAUUCGAUGCACGAGAUGUCCAAACCUUGAAGCACCUGUAUUUGACGCUGAAAUGGAAAAUGAAUCUAAAGCAAUAGAUGCUGAGCACCAAAAUAUCCAUAUAAGCGUCUUCUAAAGAUUUACUUGCCAAAGCGAGUGCUUCUAUGAUG